UACGAGAGGCCCAAGCGUUAUUCGGAUUUACUGGGCUUAAAGAGUUCGUAGGCGGCGCAGAAAGUAGGGUGUGAAAGCCCUCGGCUCAACCGAGGAAUUGCGCUCGAAACUACUGUGCUCGAGGGACCUAGAGGUGAGCAGAACUGAUGGUGGAGCGGUGAAAUGCGUUGAUAUCAGCAGGAAUACCGGAGGCGAAGGCGGCUCACUGGGGGUCUUCUGACGCUGAGGAACGAAAGCCAGGGGAGCGAACGGG
rnacentral:rRNA from 1 species